GUGAGAGUUUUCUCAUGACUACAUGCGCAAUACAACUGUAUAUAUUCACAAGUUACUAUUUGUCUGUGAGAUUGAUCUCAUGACAAUUUAAUGAAGUAGCUAUGUACAACGUAACAUUUAUCGAAAUUUGGAACAUCGACUCAUGAUAUUAAUAAUUUGUCAAGGAUCUGUGUUUGCCGUCUGUAUUUUAUUCUUUCGCAAACUUACUUGUGAGAUUUAUCUCAUAGUAAGAUAUCCGUUAUACUGGAUAUCCGUAAAUGAAGACCAAGAGGCAAAAGAAAAGAGAAUUGUGAACAUUUAUUGUGUGUUCCCUAUUAUAUUUUGUAUUAUUAUGCAUUGAUGUUUUAUUAUAUCAUUCCGGCAUCACUUACAUAUAUGAUUAUUGCAA
rnacentral:lncRNA from 1 species